rnacentral:rRNA from 1 species
GACGAACGCUGGCGGCGUGCUUAACACAUGCAAGUCGAACGCUGAAGCUCAGCUUGCUGGGUGGAUGAGUGGCGAACGGGUGAGUAACACGUGAGUAACCUGCCCUCUUCUUUGGGAUAACGCCCGGAAACGGGUGCUAAUACUGGAUAUUCACUGAUUCUCGCAUGGGGGUUGGUGGAAAGGUUUUUUCUGGUGGGGGAUGGGCUCGCGGCCUAUCAGCUUGUUGGUGGGGUGAUGGCCUACCAAGGCUUUGACGGGUAGCCGGCCUGAGAGGGUGACCGGUCACAUUGGGACUGAGAUACGGCCCAGACUCCUACGGGAGGCAGCAGUGGGGAAUAUUGCACAAUGGGCGAAAGCCUGAUGCAGCGACGCCGCGUGAGGGAUGGAGGCCUUCGGGUUGUAAACCUCUUUCACUCAUGGUCAAGCCGCAGCUUUGGGUUGUGGUGAGGGUAGUGGGUAAAGAAGCGCCGGCUAACUACGUG